rnacentral:tRNA from 1 species
GAGGGUACAGCUUAGUGGUAGAGUGCCUGCUUAGUGAGCAUGAGGUCCUGGGUUCCAUUCCCAGUACCCCCA